rnacentral:rRNA from 1 species
AAGUCGAGGGGCAGCAUGACCUAGCAAUAGGUUGAUGGCGACCGGCGCACGGGUGAGUAACACGUAUCCAACCUACCGGUUAUUCCGGGAUAGCCUUUCGAAAGAAAGAUUAAUACCCGAUGGCAUAGUUCUUCCGCAUGGUCGAACUAUUAAAGAAUUUCGGUAAAAGAUGGGGAUGCGUUCCAUUAGGCAGUUGGAGGGGUAACGGCCCACCAAGGCGAUGAUCAGUAGCCGGUCUGAGAGGAUGAACGGCCACACUGGGACUGAGACACGGCCCAGACUCC